rnacentral:tRNA from 1 species
UAGAUUGAAGCCAGUUACUAGGGUAUU